rnacentral:rRNA from 1 species
AACGAACGCUGGCGGCAUGCCUAACACAUGCAAGUCGAACGAGACCUUCGGGUCUAGUGGCGCACGGGUGCGUAACGCGUGGGAACCUGCCCUUAGGUUCGGAAUAACCCCCCGAAAGGGGUGCUAAUACCGGAUAAUGUCUUCGGACCAAAGAUUUAUCGCCUUUGGAUGGGCCCGCGUUGGAUUAGCUAGUUGGUAGGGUAAAAGCCUACCAAGGCGACGAUCCAUAGCUGGUCUGAGAGGAUGAUCAGCCACACUGGGGCUGAGACACGGCCCAGACUCCUACGGGAGGCAGCAGUGGGGAAUAGUGGACAAUGGGCGAAAGCCUGAUCCAGCAAUGCCGCGUGAGUGAUGAAGGCCUUAGGGUUGUAAAGCUCUUUUACCCGGGAUGAUAAUGACAGUACCGGGAGAAUAAGCGCCGGCUAACUCCGUG